AAAUUGAAGAGUUUGAUCAUGGCUCAGAUUGAACGCUGGCGGCAGGCCUAACACAUGCAAGUCGAACGGUAACAGGAAGCAGCUUGCUGCUUCGCUGACGAGUGGCGGACGGGUGAGUAAUGUCUGGGAAACUGCCUGAUGGAGGGGGAUAACUACUGGAAACGGUAGCUAAUACCGCAUAACGUCGCAAGACCAAAGAGGG
rnacentral:rRNA from 2 species